AUUAUCUUACUCUAUUGCAAUGAGGCAUGUUUAAUAACCUGUUCGAGCAACCAGUGAAGGGCAAGCCUGGUGCCAGCAGCCGCGGUAAUUCCAGCUUCACGAGUGUAUAUUUAAGUUGUUGCAGUUAAAAAGCUCGUAGUUGAACUUCUUUUUGUUCAGAAGGCGUGCAAGCGCAGUCUGGGCGAAAAUCCGCCUGAAAAAUCAUUCGGGUCUUCACUGAUUCAGUGAUGGAUCAGGCAUUUUUACUUUGAAAAAAUUAGAGUGUUCAAAGCAGGCUCACGCCUGAAUACAUUAGCAUGGAAUAAUAGAAUAGGACGCUGUUCAAUUUGUUGGUUAUUGAAUUGCGUAAUGAUUAAUAGGGACAGUUGGGGGCAUUUGUAUUUAAUUGUCAGAGGUGAAAUUCUUGGAUUUAUCAAAGACAAACUUAUGCGAAAGCAUUUGCCAAGGAUGUUUUCAUUAAUCAAGAACGAAAGUUAGAGGAUCAAAGACGAUCAGAUACCGUCCUAGUUUUAACUAUAAACUAUGCCGACUCGGUCUCAGUCAAGUCUUCCUAACUUGAUUGGUGCCGUAUGAGAAAUCAAAGUCUUUGGGUUCCGGGGGGAGUAUGGUCGCAAGGUUGAAACUUAAAGGAAUAGACGGAACAUCACUACCAGGUGUGGAUCCUGCGGCUUAAUUUGACCCAACACGGGGAAACUUACCAGCGCAAAACAAGGGUGGGAUUGACAGAUUGAGAGCUCUUUCUUGAUUCUUUGGAUAGUGGUGCAUGGCCGUUCUUAGUUGGUGGAGUGAUUUGUCUGCUUAAUUGCGUUAACGAACGAGACCUCAACCUACUUACUAGACGCGUGAUUAAUUCAUCGCGUGUUCUUCUUAGAGGGACUGUGCGGAGACAAACGCAAGGAAGUUUGAGGCAAUAACAGGUCUGUGAUGCCCUUAGAUGUGCUGGGCCGCACGCGGGAUACAAUGACCCGUUCAGAAAGUAUAACCUGACCCGGAAGGGAGUGGGUAAUCUUUUUAAUGCGGGUCGUGCUAGGGAUCGAUCUUUGCAAUUAUAGAUCUUGAACGAGGAAUACCUAGUAAGUGCAAGUCAUCAGCUUGUACUGAUUACGUCCCUGGUGUUUGUACUCACCGCCCGUCGCUCCUACCAAUUUCGAAUGAUCCGGUGAACCUUUUGGAUUGGGUGCAAGCCUAAGAAGUUAAGUAAACCUUAUCAUUUAGAGGAAGGAGAAGUC
rnacentral:rRNA from 1 species